rnacentral:rRNA from 1 species
AUGAGUGAAAAGGAAGGUGGUAAUAUCCGACCUGAUCACUACAUGCGGGAUUUCAGAGAUUGCAUCGAGGACUGCGGGUUACAGGAAGUGAUGAUGAUUGGUGAUACUUUCACAUGGAGCCGAGAGGCUGUCAGAGAGCGGCUUGACAGGGCUCUUUGCAACGACAUGUGGGCAGAAAAAUUUCCUUAUGCGGCCCUAGUGCAUGAACAUCAUAUCCACUCGGACCACAGGCCUAUUUUGCUUGACACUGAGUAUUUCAAAGGGCUCAUG